rnacentral:rRNA from 1 species
UAGAGUUUGAUCAUGGCUCAGGAUGAACGCUGGCGGCGUGCCUAAUACAUGCAAGUCGUACGAAGGAGCUUGCUCCUUAGUGGCGAACGGGUGAGUAAUACAUAAAUAAUCUGCCUCAAUGUCUGGGAUAACUAUUGGAAACGAUAGCUAAUACCGGAUAGCUUGUUAGAAGACAUCUUCUUUCAACUAAAGGAGCGUUCGCUCCGCUUUGAGAUGAGUUUAUGGCGCAUUAGUUAGUUGGCGGGGUAAUGGCCCACCAAGACGAUGAUGCGUAGCCGAUCUGAGAGGAUGACCGGCCACACUGGGACUGAGACACGGCCCAGACUCCUACGGGAGGCAGCAGUAGGGAAUUUUCGGCAAUGGGCGAAAGCCUGACCGAGCAACGCCGCGUGAGUGAUGAAGGCCUUCGGGUUGUAAAGCUCUGUUGUUAGGGAAGAAUGAUCAGGAUAGGAAAUGAUCUUGAAGUGACGGUACCUAACCAGAAAGCCACGGCUAACUACGUGCCAGCAGCCGCGGUAAUACGUAGGUGGCAAGCGUUAUCCGGAAUUAUUGGGCGUAAAGGGUGCGUAGGCGGUUUCUUAAGUCUUAUGUGAAAUCUC